UUGUUAGAGAAUCAAGAUCAGAAGCCAAGUCUGCAAUAUUGAGAAGUCAAUCACAGGAGGUGAAGUCCUCGACAAUUAUAGAUGUGGAUCACCAGAAGGCAGUCAAGAAGCAAAAAGAGUUGAAGAAAUUGAUAACUCAUGGAUAAUGAGUUUCAUCAACGGUGGAGAUCAUACAGAUGUCAAAGACACGGAUUACCAAAGUCUCAAGAUUGCUGAGUCUCAAGAUUGCUGCGGAUUACCAAAGUCUCAAGAUUGCUGUUCUGUUUUGCUUAGCUGUAAAGUUUGUUAGCGAAAGUUAGUUAGUUUGUUUUUCUAGUUGUUAGUCCUCUGUUUUCCGCAUAUAUACAGAGAGGUAUUGUAAUCGGUUGAUGAUUAUGGAGAACAUCUUCUUUUGUUCAAUUGAAUGGAAAUACAGAAUCGAAAACUUCUUCACAGAUCAUCUACUGUCAUUCUUCAUCUUCAUCUUCU
rnacentral:lncRNA from 1 species